rnacentral:ncRNA from 1 species
CGAUGGAGGUUGCGGGCGCAAAUAGUAUCCGCCGAGUAAGGGGCGUAUCCCUUGGCGGAAAAAGGUGCGUUCGCCGAGGUGAGCGGCGUGAUACGGCGUCGUUUUGCCGGGGUCGCGCAGAAUAUGCGCGGCACUGUCGCAAAUUUUUGCGGAGCGCUAUCAG